UACAGAGGGGGCAAGCGUUGUUCGGAAUUACUGGGCGUAAAGGGCGCGUAGGCGGCCUGCUAAGUCGAACGUGAAAUCCCCGGGCUCAACCCGGGAACUGCGUUCGAUACUGGUUGGCUUGAAUCCGGGAGAGGGAUGCGGAAUUCCAGGUGUAGCGGUGAAAUGCGUAGAUAUCUGGAGGAACACCGGUGGCGAAGGCGGCAUCCUGGACCGGCAUUGACGCUGAGGCGCGAAAGCCAGGGGAGCAAACGGG
rnacentral:rRNA from 1 species